AGAUUCUGGAAGUAGUCAUUUGAUUGGCUAAUCCACAAGGUCACCCUGACGUGACCCCUUAUGGGAUGUUGUUAGAUGUACAUGUAACGUAGUGAGAAUGACUAUCUAGAUUCUAAUUAGAUUGGUAUGUAUAUGAAAGUAAGUACUGAUUAUAAAGUUAAGAGUACUUUUGUUAUUACCGGUACAUUAUAUAUAAUAUCCCUAAUGUGGGUGUUUAUGUGAAGACAAGUGUCCCUAAUGUAGGUAUUGAUGUGAAGACAAGCCAUGACAUUUUGCAGCAUUAAGACUAUGGACUAUUGUAGUAUUAUAGGUUGUUCAUAGUUUACUUAUUAAUGAAGUCAUUUAUGUGAUGCUAACUAAUUAAGUAUGUGUACAAAGUUUCCCAUAAAGAUUUAUUCCUGAAAGGAAAUAAUUUAUCAUAAAAUUAAUUUAUAAGAUUUAUCGAUUGUUCAUUAUUCAUUUUCUUCAAUGAUUUAACAAUUUACAGUGUGUAUGAAAUGUCAAAUAAUUUGACUGAAGUCAUUGAUAACUUUAUUGCUAAAUACCUGGUAUGGACAUUGUGUCUAUCUAAUAUUUAUGCCAUUGCUACAUAAAUGUUGUUCAGGUGUGUCCACCAUAACAAUCUAGUCAAAAAGAUUUUACGAAUCUUUCUCAUGAAGAUCCUGAUUCAAUUAAGACAUACAUGUGUAUAUAUAUAUAUAUAAAACCAUAUUUAAUUAGCCCAGGGGACCAACACAUCAAGGCCAAUUGUAGGACUGUUAAAAACCCAUGUUUAUAGAGUUUAACAGCAAUAUACAUCAGUGGGCUUGUUACCAGAUAUGGACUUAUCGCAGGAUAAAUAUGGUAUGUACAUACAAACAUAUUUUGUAUACCUAUACUGUACAGAUGUGAGAAAUAAAGUUCUAAACCUCUUGACCAAUUUGGACCAUUUCUUUCCAGAAAAAAGUUAAGAUUGAUUUGUGCAAGUUUUCCCAUGAAAGAUGUGUAGUCGCUUGACCGAUAAGAAAUCUGGAACCAAAAAAAAAAAACACUUUUUUUUCUUUCUAGAGCUAAUUAUUCCAGUUUCAUAAGAUAUCUACAAUUAGUAAAGCAAACUGUAAUGUUAACUAUCUACAUGUAGCUUUAAGUAAUGUAAACUGAUAAUUAACAGUAAAGGGAGGUAAUUACCCAGUAACCUUGGUUACCCUGUAGGGAACUCCACUGAUAAUUAACAGUAAAGGGAGGUAAUUACCCAGUAACCUUGGUUACCCUGUAGGGAACUCUGCUGAUAAUUAACAGUAAAGGGAGGUAAUUACCCAGUAACCUUGGUUACCCUGUAGGGAACUCCACUGAUAAUUAACAGUAAAGGGAGGUAAUUACCCGGUAAACUUGGUUACCCUGUAGGGAACUCCACUUUGUUUCUCGAGAAUCUAGUCACUUUCAAUUUUGUUGCAGCCGAUUGCCCGAAAUCUCAAAUUUCUAGGUAGAGAAAGAUCUCAUUUUUUGGGUGCUAGUGAACCAGGGUGAAAGCGUUUAGUAUUGUAUUGAAUUCAGUACUUGGGAAAUAUUUUCCCUGAUAUGUGUCUACCAGUAUAUUAAAUUCUGGAAAAGCCAGCUACUUCAGUUGAAGAACUGUACACUUUCACCCAUAUGAAUAUUUAAUAUAUAAACACUACUUUGGCUCAAAAUCCAAUACUUAGUCAGUUUUAUGUAAUCAAUCAUGCAACAAAAUAUAUACUGCAUAAUAAUUAUGUCUUCAUCAUAACUUGUAAUAAUUCAUUAUUCCACUCAACAAGCUUACUGUGAACAUCAACACCUUAGAAUUUCUCACUUUUAUAAUUUCAUCGUUACAGAAGAUCCCUUCAUUAUAAAAAGCCGUUCACAAAUUAUUUUUGUAUUGUUUUUAUUUCACCAUUAGUAGACUUUUGAACCUACAAAUAAUUACGUUGUAAGUUAUCUUCGUUAUAGUGCUAAUUGUUACAGAUGUUUUAACCUAUAUAUUAUGUACGUCAAUAUAUUGUACAGCAAAUGUGUGAAAUGUUGUUGUAAUCCCAAAAUACCAUGAUCAGAAUUAUUUUUAAGCAGAACUAAUAAAUAUACAAAGUAUGUAAA